rnacentral:rRNA from 1 species
CUGCUAGCCACCCAUGUCGACCGUGGUUUCUCGCUUCCUCCGCAUCCUUUUUUCUGGGGUUUCUUGAAUUUCUUCGGAGCCCAACUCCAUCAUUUUACUCCCAACACCAUCACAUAUCUAGCUGCGUUUGUGUCCGUGUGCGAGAAUUUCUUGGGGUGUCGACCGCACUGGGGUCUUUUCAAGCACAUUUUCCCCAUCCGAUCCCAGACGAUGAAGAAAGCAAAUUCGAAUGACGAGAAAACCCACGUUAUCCAGAUAUGUGGGGGUUUGGGUAUCCAGAAGAGGAAGAGGAGUUCUUUCCCUUCGAUGACUCUUCCUGAGUCGGUCAGAGGCUGGCAGUCAACCUGGUUCUACUGCCAGGAUAUCGCGACUCCAGGUCAGUCGACUGGACUUCCUCCUUUUUCUUUCGAUCGUGUUCAGACUCCCUCUUUGUUGAAA